GACGAACGCUGGCGGCGUGCCUAAUACAUGCAAGUAGAACGCACAGUUUAUACCGUAGCUUGCUACACCAUAAACUGUGAGUUGCGAACGGGUGAGUAACGCGUAGGUAACCUGCCUGGUAGCGGGGAUAACUAUUGGAAACGAUAGCUAAUACCGCAUAAUAUUAAUUAUUGCAUGAUAAUUGAUUGAAAGAUGCAAUUGCAUCACUACCAGAUGGACCUGCGUUGUAUUAGCUAGUAGGUGAGGUAACGGCUCACCUAGGCGACGAUACAUAGCCGACCUGAGAGGGUGAUCGGCCACACUGGGACUGAGACACGGCCCAGACUCCUACGGGAGGCAGCAGUAGGGAAUCUUCGGCAAGGGACGAAAGUCUGACCGAGCAACGCCGCGUGAGUGAAGAAGGUUUUCGGAUCGUAAAGCUCUGUUGUAAGAGAAGAACGGGUGUGAGAGUGGAAAGUUCACACUGUGACGGUAUCUUACCAGAAAGGGACGGCUAACUACGUG
rnacentral:rRNA from 1 species